rnacentral:lncRNA from 1 species
GAAUUUCAAAAUAAUUCCUUCAUGUAAAUUUUAUCUCAUUCAAAGAUCUUUCAAAUAGCUAUGGUUUGGCUGAAAAUAAACUUAUUUGGUUAGUUAAAAUCAGUGACUACAAUGGCAUUAGUGAAAAAUCUAGGAAAAACAGUCCACAAUGAUGUACCUUCUCAUUUUGAAAUAUAACUUUAUUUUUGUGAAAAAUUUCAACAAUGAGAGAAAAAUAAAAAUUUUACUAGACUCAUACAUCCUUCCAAUGGUGGUAAUUUGAGGCAAAUUAGACCCCAUUUGACAGUUCAAAAGCCUCUUCUAAACACACACAUAAUUUUAGAAUUUCACAGUGGCAUACAACAUGUCUCAAGAACACAUUCCAUGACCUCCAUUUCAUGGUGAGGAACAUGAUAACAACCAUUCUCUCACAAUGCACACAAAUAACAUGCAUUUCUUACAUAAUCGAGUCAUAUACUUAUUCUGAAUAUCCACCAUUAUCAUAUAACAAAAGCCCCAAUUUUU